GUUCAGCAACUCGAUCCCGGACUGGUCCAAUCAAUAGUGUCUACCGUUGCAGCGGAGGACACCCGACAACUGGCAGCGACUUUACCAGCCCUCACUUCGCCAACUGACGAGUUUCCAGCGACUCGAAGCGUUUCAGCUACGCCAGAACCAGCAGAGGAGCGUCGUUUGUCUGCGCCACCAUUGCCUGCAAGUUCAGCCACGACUCUGGUGGAGGGAGCGAUAGCUGCGGCUCACUCUAGGAUAGCAGGUGCGCCUCAGUUAUUG